CGUACUUUUUGUAGAACGGGCCAACGAGUUACGUUAAGUAGCAAGGUUAAGCACUUAAGGUGUGGAGCCGUAGCGAAAGCGAGUUUUAACUGAGCGUUCAGUUACUUGACGUAGACCCGAAACCGGGCGACCUACCCAUGAGCAGGACGAAGCGAAAGUAAAAUUUCGUGGAGGUCCGAACCCACGAGCGUUGAAAAGCUCGGGGAUGACGUGUGGGUAGCGGUGAAAUUCCAAUCGAGCCCGGAGAUAGCUGGUUCUCCCCGAAAUAGCUUUAGGGCUAGCCUCAAGGUGAGAGAUACGGAGGUAGAGCACUGAAUGUCCUAGGGGGUAUUGCACCU
rnacentral:rRNA from 1 species